rnacentral:rRNA from 1 species
UACGUAGGCAGCGAGCGUUGUUCGGAGUUACUGGGCGUAAAGCGUGCGUAGGCGGUGUCUUAAGUUUGUUGUGAAAUCUCCCGGCUUAACCGGGAGGGUGCGGCGAAUACUGAGAUGCUGGAGUGCCGGAGAGGUAAGCGGAAUUCCUGGUGUAGCGGUGAAAUGCGUAGAUAUCAGGAGGAACACCUGCGGUGUAGACAGCUUACUGGACGGUAACUGACGCUGAGGCACGAAAGCGUGGGUAGCAAACAGG